rnacentral:rRNA from 1 species
UGGGGAAUCUUGCGCAAUGGGGGAAACCCUGACGCAGCGACGCCGCGUGCGGGAUGAAGGCCUUCGGGUUGUAAACCUUUUUCGCUCAUGGUCAAGCCGCAGCUUUGGGUUGUGGUGAGGGUAGUGGGUAAAGAAGCGCCGGCUAACUACGUGCCAGCAGCCGCGGUAAUACGUAGGGCGCGAGCGUUGUCCGGAAUUAUUGGGCGUAAAGGGCUUGUAGGCGGUUGGCCGCGUCUGCCGUGAAAUCCUCUGGCUUAACUGGGGGCGUGCGGUGGGUACGGGUUGACUUGAGUGCGGUAGGGGAGACUGGAAUUCCUGGUGUAGCGGUGGAAUGCGCAGAUAUCAGGAGGAACACCGGUGGCGAAGGCGGGUCUCUGGGCCGUUACUGACGCUGAGGAGCGAAAGCGUGGGGAGCGAACAGG